CGCGGCGUACAAUGGCGCCCGUAGGCCGGGAGCGAAAUGCGUCACCGCGCCGGCCGGGACUACAACUCCCAGACAACCCCGCGGUGUGCCGCGCCGGGCUGCUCCCAGGUGGCGGCCAUCUUGUCAGGCCAGCUUCGGGUGGCAGGCGAAGCUAGCGCAGCCAGCAAAAGAACCCUCGCCCGCAUCCCUCCGCGGUGCAGCUAGUCAGGCGGAACCCUCAGAGCAUCUCAGAUUGUUCCAUGUGAAGGGGAACAAAUGUUUAAAAGUAAUUUUUAAAAAAAGAAAAGAAAGAUACACCUGUCUUUAAGAUGUUAGCUUUGUGGACACUUCUCAGAACUCCUCAGAGCUCGAGAACUUCAGGUUGGAGAAGCAGGAAUAAAUUACUCAUCAUUUUACCUGACUCGCUUUGGGCCUUUCUCCCUUCCGUUGCUGAUAUCCCAGACAACAUCAGGCCAGACUCUCACCAGCAAGCUGAUCAGGAGCUCUGUAUCUAUACCUUCUGUGAGCCCCCUAAGUUGUGUAUUUAAAAUUGUUUUGUACACCAACUCUAUAUUCAGAAACUUGACAAAAGUGAGUUGUAAAAGAUUUCUCUGACUCUCAGUAACUUUCAAGGUCUUGCAGAUAACCUCAAAUGUAAACAAAGGGCUGCUGCAGCCUCCACUUGAGGCUGAGGUAACUGAAGAGAAAAAAGGGAGGCACUUUUAAACGUAGGCAGCAAGCUCCCCCCCACUCCCUCUUACAGUCUCCUGAAGUUGUAAAGGCAACUAUAAGAUCUUAGGUCCUCUCUGCAAGCGUUGGUGGUUCUGUUUAUAUACAUGGCCUCUAAGGUCUGUACUUGUUUAUAUUUUACAUAGAAUGUUUUUGCCUCCUCAACUCCUGCUCUCCCUUCUCCACAUACCUGAUCGCUCUCUUGGCAAGAAAACAAUCUUAUCCCUUCCACACCUGCCCCGCUUCCUCUCCAAGAGGUUGCCAGCUUGGAGGGCGUAGUUUGAGUCCACACCCCCUUCUCUCUGUCAGACCUCUGCCAGGUAGAUAAAUGGCUAGCAUUCUUCUCUGAUCCAGAUAUAUUCAGUAAAGAAUUCAAAUAUCUGGCCCCAUCCUAUUAUCUCACUUGACGUGAUAUCUAUAUCAUCCUCUCCUCCACUCUAGUCCCCAAGGAGGAGUGGAUCUGGGUCAGGGCACAGGAGAUGAUUUACUCAGGGUGAUCAGAGGCCAGUCGGAGCAGCAGCUGUGCCGCGUGAUGACCCUGGCUGGGAUCACCAAGCCAAUUGGCCGGGCCGAACUCAGCAAAAACAUAUGCCCACUCGUCUUAUUGUUGGGCUCCAAAAGGCCACCCACACGGCUAUAAACUAUGACAAACUCAGAGAAGUUUCCCAAGGACCGGAUAAAAACUCGGCCCAAUUUCUGUUGCGUCUUACCGAGACCCUUCAGAAAUACACCAAAAUCGAGCCUGCCUCAAAUGAAGGCACAAUUGUCCUCAAUACCCACUUCAUCUCUCAGUCAGCUCCAGAUAUCCGGAAAAAAACUAAAAACAGACCAAAGAGGGCCACAAAACCCCUCAGAGAGGUCUCCUUUCUAUGGCCUUCAAGGUCUUUAACAAUAGGGAUGAGUGGGCUAAACAUGACAAGACACAAAGAGAUCAGGCAAGAUACGAGUUGCUGGCUGCUGCAAUCAAGGACACCCAAAUGGGUGCCAGGGACCGGGGACAAGAUAACUGCCCUCCUUCAAGAGCGCCUCCUGGACCUUGUUUUAAGUGCGACUGGCUAGGAGGGCCAUUGGGCACGGACUUGCCACAACCCCCGACCUCCUCCAGGGCCCUGUCUACAAUGUGGAAAAAGGGACACUGGAAGGUGGAUUGUGACCAGCCUCCUCAAGGGUGGGUUUCAGCCACCAUCCCCCAUUUCUCAAGAGGAUUGGACAUCAACCUUCCUAGUCUUCUUGGCUUAGCUGUGGAUGAUUGAUGGAGCCCAGGGCCCCUGGCUCCCUCCCGCAUCACAAUAGUGGAGUGCAGGGUAACUCUUUAUGUGGCAGGACAUGGGGCCACCUACUCUGCCCUUCCUGAGUUUUGAGGGCCUACGCAUCCCUCCCACAUCUCCAUUGUUGGGGUUGACGGCCUUAUCUCAUAGCCUGUAACUACCCCUGCCCUAACUUGCUCACUUCAUAACUUGGGUUUUUGCCACUCAUUUCUAGUACUCCCCAGGUGUGCCACUCCUAUAUUCGGGCGAAGACAUUCUCUCCAAAUUCAGAGUUUCUUUUCAAUUUCAUCCACCCAACCCUGAAUUUGUCCUUUUCCUUGUACUCUCCCCCUCUAACACUCCAAUACAGAUCCCCUUAUUUCUGCCCCUCGUCGAUCCUGUUGUUUGGGACACCUCCAGCCUUCUAUUGCUACAUACCACUGUCCUGUCAAGAUCAAGUUGCAUGAUCCAUCCUCGUUUCCAAACUAACCGCAACACCCCAUCUCUCUCACUCAUCAAAAGGGCCUACAGCCCAUCAUCGACAGACUCCUAGCUAGGGGUCUUCUCAGGCCUACCCAUUCCCCAUAUAAUCCCUAUAUGGGGAUUCCCCUUGCCUAUCUUGCCUGUCAAAAAACCCAAUGGUUCCUAUAGACUCAUUCAAGAUCUUAAAAUAAUCAAUGAAGCUGUUCUCCCAAUGUAUCCUGACAUCCCCAACCCCUAUACCCUUCUUUCUCAUCCCCCAUGAUACCGCUCUCUUCACUGUCCUGAACCUCAAAGAUGCCUUCUCUACCAUUCCCUUACAUCCUCACUCUAAGGACCUCUUUGCCUUUACCUGGACUAACACUAACCCCCUACAUUCCAGAAAACUAACAUGGUCAGUCCUUCCCCCAAGAGUUCAGGGACAGCCCCCCCAAUUCUUUGGCUAGGCCCUAGCGGCUGACGUAGCCUCUCUCAACCUUGCUCCCAGCACACUCCAUGGAUGGUCUUAUUUUGUGCAGUCUGUCUCACUCACUCUCUCUGUGCCAUACCGCUACCCUUCUUAACUUCCUCAGUAGCGAGGGCUACUAGGUAUCCCUACACAAAGCACAACUCUCUACCUCCUCGGUUAUCUACUUGGGAGUUCAACUCAUCCUCACACACAGGGCCAUCACGACUGACCAUAUCUUCCUUAUUAAAUCCAUACCACCCCCACCACAAAAAAUGAAUUCCUCUCCUUCUUGGGUCCCGCUGGUUUCCUUUGUAUCUGGAUCCCCAACUUCGGCCUUGCCCUCUAUAUGAGAUGGCUAGAUGUCCCCCAGAGGAACUACUAGACCCCACGCUAAACCUCAACCUCACUACACUCCUACCUGCAACCACACAGACCUCCAUCCACUCUUGCACUGAAGUCCUAGACUUCAUCAGGCCUCACUUCUCCAAUAUAACCUCUCCCCAAUCUGGAACACACCUGGUUCAUCUAUGGCAGCUCCACCCUUUCUGAGGGUUCCCGUACAGCUGGCUAUGCCAUUGUCACCACCACCACCACCAUCAAGGCAUGUUCCUUCCUGUUGGGGAUGACCUCACAAAAGGCAAAACUCAUUGCACUCACCUGGGCCCUAACAUCCUCCUCAUACAAAUUAUUCCUCGAUUUGUCCUCCCUAUGUCCAUUCAAUCUCAAAGUGGCCCAGCCUUCAUCUCCCAGAUCACACAACAGGUCUCACAAGCCCUCAGUAUACCCUGGAAACUCCAUAUCCCCUACAGACCCCAAUCCUUGGGUAAAGUAGAAAAAGCCAACUCCAUCAUUAAAUCUCACCUCACCAAACUCUCCCUAGAGGUUCAACAACCUUGGACAACCCUCCUACCCGUUGCCCUCUGCCGUAUCCAUGCCACCCCUCAGUCCCCCACCUUCUUCAGUCCUUUCAAGCUCAUGUAUGGCAGGCCUUUUCUAUUAAGCAACUUCCCUUCUAACAGCUCACCAAUGAAAGACUACCUCCCAGCACUUAGCCUCGUUCAGCAGAUCCUUACAUGCAGACUGCAUUCUUCUCGACCCCAAGACACUUCUCUCUCUCUUUCCCUAGCCGUGGGAGACUGGGUCCUUCUCAAAGACCUCAACCCCUCAGACUUACGACCAUGGUGGAAAGGGCCCUUCUCACCACCCCCACUGCAGCCAAUCUGCUUUGGGUCACUGCUCCUAGUUUCACUUCUCUAGGAUGAAAAAGAUGGCUAAACCACCUGUCCUGCCCCUCCACAGGACCACUCAGGCUCCAUGAUAUCACAACUCAGUCCUGGGCCCCACGCAACUUCAACUUCACAAGAUCCCUGAGGAAAAACCGGGAGGCUGAUGAACAGUGACCCCUGCCCCUGCCCCUGUCCUCGCUGCAUGAACCAAACACCCCCAGCCUCACUUCCGGCUCCUUCAAAUUCUGUUUUCUCCACCUUUCCCCUUAACCUCUGCAGGUCCAUUUUAGAGCUCCUUUUGGACAAUUCCAUCAUCCAUCUUCUCAACCUCAGAGGGGACAUAAGCCCCCCAUGGUUGUCUUCAUAAUAUUACUCUUCCCUCUCAUAACACUUUCCUUACCAUUACCCCCCUUAUCUCCUCUGGACCCUCAACCUAACUCAUCAUCUUCUAAACCAGUCAUCCCCCUUACUCGCUCAGGACUGCUGGCUCUGUCUAUCCACCUCUACUCAACUCUUUGCUGCCGUCCCUGUAAUGGCUCAAGUAUGGACUAAUACUUCUGCCUUCAUUUUCUACAAAGUCCAACACAGAUGUGCCUCACACUCAAAAUCCACCACUCGCUACAACUCCUUCCCGAGCCAAUACCAGCUCAGAGCAACACAAUACCUAAAAACCUUCACUGAUGCUCCAGACAAGGCCCAUGACAAAUCCAGACCCAUCGUAGGCCUCUCACGUGCCUCUACUCACAUCCACACCACAGCCCCCCUUCUUCAUCUCCCACUCACAGGCCACCGGCCAUCCUGUGGGCACCUUAGGGCCCAAUCUCUGUGAUACCACCAUCCCUAUCUCAUCCUCUGUUACUCAUUCCACCUCCUCCGCAGGUUCCUUCUUCCCACAACCCCUCCGCUUCUCCUCCCGUCCCAGUCUCAGCACCACUGGAACAACUAACAUCAACACCCUAUACUGUCAGGGGAGGCCUUAGACCCCAAUAAGACUCCUCCUUGGAUUCCCCAUACCAGCAAAAAGGGAUCCAACUGUCUUCCGCUACUUAUUCCAUCUGACCCAGCUAACUUUUGCCUCGAUACACUCAAAUUCCAUCUCUUUAGACAUCAAAACCCUACACCUUACAUUUCCAUACAGCCCCUCAUGGGGCCACAGUGUUGGGCACAAUCGGUAUUCGGGACAAAGAAGGCUCCCCACAGAAAUACAUGGGAACCCUAACCCCUUUCUUCUCCCUCGACAUCUUCACCUGCCUUGGUCCCCUGGCCUCUUCUUCCUCUGCAGAACCUCCACAUACGCCUGCCUCCCCACCAACUGGACACGCACCUACACCCUAGUUUUACUUUCUCCAGAUACUCAGAUCACCCCCAAUAAUCAAUCUCUACCUGUCCCCACAUACACUGUAAUGUGCCUGAAGAAGGGCCAUCUCCCUUAUUCCACUCCUAGUGUCACUGGGCAUCUCUGCAGGGUAGCGACAGGGACAGCAGGGCUCGGAGUCUCCUUACACCACUUUCAGGCCCUGUCACAGAACCUCGCCCAGGCCCAGAAAAACAGAGACCGCCUCAAGCGCCAGUGCGGCUCCUGGUUUAUGAGUAGCUGGGGCCAGUGGUUUCUCCCCCUCCUAGGGCCUCUAAUCAUUAUCUUUUUGGUCCUAGUCUAUGGUCCCUGCCUCCUCCACCAAAACAGCGACUGGCUUACAGGCAGUCAGCAUUUUCUGUCCAAACAAUGCUACCCUGUCAGCACUGCCCCUAUG